rnacentral:rRNA from 1 species
AGUGAACGCUGGCGGUAGGCCUAACACAUGCAAGUCGAACGGCAGCACAGUAAGAGCUUGCUCUUACGGGUGGCGAGUGGCGGACGGGUGGGGAAUACAUCGGAAUCUACUUUUUCGUGGGGGAUCACGUAGGGAAACUUACGCUAAUACCGCAUACGACCUACGGGUGAAAGCAGGGGAUCUUCGCACCUUGCGCGAUUGAAUGAGCCGAUGUCGGAUUAGCUAGUUGGCGGGGUAAAGGCCCACCAAGGCGACGAUCCGUAGCUGGUCUGAGAGGAUGAUCAGCCACACUGGAACUGAGACACGGUCCAGACUCCUACGGGAGGCAGCAGUGGGGAAUAUUGGACAAUGGGCGCAAGCCUGAUCCAGCCAUACCGCGUGGGUGAAGAAGGCCUUCGGGUUGUAAAGCCCUUUUGUUGGGAAAGAAAAGCAGCAGGUUAAUACCCCGCUGUUCUGACGGUACCCAAAGAAUAAGCACCGGCUAACUUCGUG